rnacentral:rRNA from 1 species
AUGAAAAAGGCUCAGGAAAAAGUUGGUUGGCUGCUGUGCCGGAAUCCAGGACUCUCUGAUGAUUUCAACAAGUGUGUUGACUUCAGCUUCACUAUAGACGAGUUUGAUCAGAAUUGGGCUGGGUUAAUGAUGACGUAUGAGGCUAUGACACACAUGCACUUUGAGAAGUUGUAUGAAUACAGGUCAACUUGGGUGCCGUGCUACUUCAAACACAGGUUCUUCCCCUUCCUACAGUCUACACAGUGUAGUGAGGAGUUCAACGCCAUCCUAAAAAGAUAUGCAAACCCACACAACUCAAUGUUGAACUUCGUCAAGCAAUAUGAAAAAAUCCAGAACCACAUCCUUGCAAAGGAAGGCUGCAAUGAUUACAGGACAAAACACCUUGAGAUCGAGUUGUGGUCCAACUUCCCAAUAGAGAAGCAAGCUUACAAAACCUACACUAGGGACCUUUACCGCAAGUUCAGAGAAGAGUUUGAGCUGAUUGGACGUUAUAAUGCAUUCCAAGUUGGUGGUGAUAUAUUUGAGCUCAGACCGAACCAGGAAUUUGCUGCCAAAUAUGGUUCCCGAAACUACUUGGUGAAGGCAAGGGUGGAGGAGGGUUCCUAUUUGUGUGAGUGUUGUAAAAUGGACAAGGACGACAUCCUCUGUUGCCACAUCCUCAAGGUGUUCACCCAUAUUGGAGUUGAUGUCAUACCAGAAAGGUACCUGCUAAGACGGUGGACACCUACUGCUGUACCUAGUGCGCCAGGGACUGGUUAUGAGCAACCGGAUGAAAUGCCUCCUCAAUCAAAGAAGCAGAUAAGGGAGAGGAACAUGAUAUAUGAUUUUUGGAAACUAGCUAUUGUAUACAAGCAUAUGCGCGCAACACGUACCGAGAUCGGCCACCUGAACAAGUCCAAGAAAAAGAAAAAACCGACUGCUGCCACGGGGCCAUCAGAUGAUGGCAACCCUGGAGGACCUCCUCCACCUCCAGGCAGCACUCAGGGAGCUCAUCAUCCUCAAGGACCUCCUCCACCUCCUGGCUAUACACGGCAUCCUCCACCACCUCCUCCCCUACGUGCUCCUCCCAAUGGCCCUACAGGCAGCACUCAGGGGGCUCAUCGUCCAGGCGAUGCCAACCCUCAAAGAUCUCCUCCCCUGCCUGGCCCAACUAGCAGUGCCCUACGUGCUACUCCCAAUGGACCUACAGGCAGGACUCAGGGGGCUCAUCACCCAGGCGAUUACAAUCCAAGUACCAUGACGGGCCAUGCUACUACAGGUGAUCGUGAUGGUCCUACUGCCCCGUUGGAGGCUGCAUCCCAUACACAAGCUUUUGAUGAUUUUGUGCCCAGGGAUCCUCCAAGGUCUACUACAAAGGGUAGGGCAAAGAGUCGACGGUACAAAUCGGUGCUGGAGCUACACCCAAAGUAG